GACCGGGUAGCUCAGUUGGUAGAGCAACGGACUUUUAAUCCGUAGGCCCCGGGUUCGAUCCCCGGCCCGGUCA
rnacentral:tRNA from 1 species